GGUCCGCUGGCGUAAUGGCAGCGCGUCUGACUACGACCCAAUGAUCUCUUACUAGGAUACGGGCAUUUAGUAAUCAGGAGGCUCCAGGUUCGACCCCUGGGCGGAUCG
rnacentral:tRNA from 1 species